GCCUACGGGGGGCAGCAGUGAGGAAUAUUGGUCAAUGGGCGCAAGCCUGAACCAGCCAAGUCGCGUGAGGGAUGACGGUCCUAUGGGUUGUAAACCUCUUUUGUCAGGGAGCAAGGCCCGCCACGUGUGGCGGGAAGGAGAGUACCCGAAGAAAAAGCAUCGGCUAACUCCGUGCCAGCAGCCGCGGUAAUACGGAGGAUGCGAGCGUUAUCCGGAUUUAUUGGGUUUAAAGGGUGCGUAGGCGGAAUGCCAAGUCAGCGGUAAAAUCGCGGGGCUCAACCU
rnacentral:rRNA from 1 species